rnacentral:rRNA from 1 species
UGUGAUGCCCUUAGUAAUGGCGAAUGAAACGGGCUAAGCUCAGCACCGAACUGCCAACCAUCUGGGUUGCGUGGAAUGUGGUGUUUGGGAGAGCCUCCUCACAGCGAGACGACCAGUCCAAGUCCACCUUGACUGGGGCCACGGCUCAUAGAGGGUGAUAGGCCCGUAAGACGGUUGCCUUGCUGUGCUGGCUUUUCCCCAGAGUCGAGUUGCUUGGGAGUGCAGCUCAAAGCGCGUGGUAAACUCCACGUAAGGCUAAAUAUGACCCCGAGACCGAUAGCAAACAAGUACCGUGAGGGAAAGUUGAAAAGAACCCUGAAGAGAGAGUUCAAAAGUACGUGAAACUGUAUAGUGGUAAACACAGGGCUUCUCGAAGUUGGAGCCCGAGGUUCAGGCUAAGGUGGGUGCUGCUUGUGGGCGUGGGAUCCGCAAGGACUCUGCUUCCAAGUCUAGUGCUCACUGUGGCUGCAUUUCUCGGGCUCUGGACGCAACGAACUGCUGCUGUUGGACUAUGGACGCCGGUGAAGUUUGUGAAGGUGCAAGCCUUUGCAAGCCCGGCGCUCUUGGCUCCGACGGCGGCAGGUACUGUAAGCAGGCUCGUAUAGCGAGUGUCUCUCACUGGCACGGCUUGCAUCUCUGUUGCGAGUAGGUCGGCGGGCCCUGUGACCCGUCUUGAAACACGGACCAAGGAGUCUAACACGUGUGCGAGUCAUUGGGUUGACUAAACCUAAAGGCGCAGUGAAAGCAAAGGGUACUCACGUACCUGAGGGGUGAUCUGCCUUGCGCGGCGCAACCCCGGCGCUUCGCAUCGACCUUGUAUCGUGCGGAGCAGUAAGAGCAUACGCGUUGGG